rnacentral:rRNA from 1 species
UACGUAGGCAGCGAGCGUUGUUCGGAGUUACUGGGCGUAAAGAGUGCGUAGGCGGUUUUCUAAGUUUGGUGUGAAAUCUCCCGGCUUAACUGGGAGGGUGCGCCGAAGACUGGAAGGCUUGAGUAUGGGAGAGGGAUGUAGAAUUCCAGGUGUAGCGGUGAAAUGCGUAGAUAUCAGGAGGAACACCGAUGGCGAAGGCAGGUCUCUGGGCUGACACUGACGCUCAUGCACGAAAGCGUGGGGAGCAAACAGG